rnacentral:lncRNA from 1 species
UGAUAUCUAAUGCACAAAAGGUCCUAUGAACAUGAUAUCUAAAUGUGAGGUUAAUGACUUGUUGAUUAUUAAUUAGUCAGGGUAAUAAGAAUACUCAGAAUAACAAACUGAAAGUGAAAAGCCGAAGAACAUGAUUUCUAUAUGUGAGGAUGCAUGUCCUAGAACAUGGUAUCUAUUGCAAAUAGGUAAAAAAGGUCUAUAGACAUGUCUGUACCCAUUCCCCUAAUUAAACACGCAUAUCCCUCCCAAUUCAACUAUAAUCCCCAUUGUUUUUUACAAAAUAUUACAACCCAAAUAAUUAAAUUACAACAGUGAUAAAAGAAAAUAAGAAGUUACUCUAUAGAGAGCCUUCAGCCAGGCCAAGCAUCUCCAACCUCACUUCUUUCAAGUUUCACAAACAUUACCAAGGCUUGGGUGCGGCAAAGUUCCCUAAGGGUUCGUUUGAACCCUUGGACAAUACAAGCACCCAAAGAAUAACAUUAUUAGACAAGCGCAAGUGUGGAAGUGCCAGCCUUGUGCAUCAAAAUUUAAUGGGUUCUCAAGGGCUCCCAAGGCAAUGCCUACACUAAGGGGGCAGAACCUAGUGUUCUAAGAGUGGUGAGAUUGUGAUAGAAUUGAGAGAAUUGAAAACAGUUGAGAGACAGUUUGAGAAAUACAGUUGAAAAAGUUUAAGAAAACAGUAGAAAGAGUUGCAAGAGUUCUUUUGAAAUCAAUUAGGUUGACCGGUUUUAGAACAACAGAGCACCACACAAACAUGGGCAAAGGGGAAAGGGAACAAAUAAGCAAAGUAAACUACUCACACGGGAAACACAUUGGAAGAAAGUAACCAGACAUGGUUGCAAAACAACAAUUCAAUUCUUACUGCACCAAACUUUAAUAUAAUCAACCUCAGGAAGAGGUUUUAGGCUAAUCAAAUAGCCAAGAAGACUUGGAUGCAUGGUAGAAGUACACAAGGAAAAAGUAAACAUUCAUUGAGACAGGGGAGGGGGUAAGGGGAGCAUGCUAAGUUGAAUUAGGUAGACUAAUAAAUACAUGCUAGUGACAAGAAGAAUAGCAGAAUCAUAGAUAAAAGCACACAAGAAACAAGAAGAAGUGCAGAACUAACAAAAGCAUGUUGUUUUGGAAAUUGUACACUAAAUAGAUGACAUACCAGUUGCAGGUAAAUAGAACACAAGAGCAAUAAGCAAUAAUGCACAAGAAGAGAGCAAAGUAUGCAAAGAAUGAGAGCAGUAAUGUGAGAACAGCAGUGGAGAGAAGCAAGCAGCAGGCAAACCUAAGUAAAUAAUAUAGUAGAAACCCAGUAGUGCAGUAGACAACCAAGCUUACUCAAUCUUGGCUUUAGGCCGAUUGAGUGUUCAAAUAGGAGAAUGAGAGAGUAUAGAAAUAGCAGAGAAAGUAAGAGAGGGAGUUCAGAGAGUUUGAACUUGUGAGAGAUAUACAAUGUGUUGGUGUCUUUCAAAGAGAAUAGAGGGGGUAUUUAUAGUACUAAAACGAGUACACAAACAGAGCAGCAAUCCUUAAUUAAGGAACUAGCAUCAAUCAAAAUCAAAUUAGUAUAAGGACUCCCCUUUAAUUAAGGAGUCUAAGACAAAUGGUAACAAGCAGAGGUUUUAAAGGAAAGGAAUCAAUUAAACUGAUGUGUUUUCCCUAGUAAAAGUGGUAAUCAUAUAUUAUACAAUAAGGCUUAGAUACAUAAUAGUUUAAGUAAGGAAAAUAUGUGCUAAAGAUUUUGAAAGCCUGUUUAUGCACAAAUAAGGCAAGGAAGUACAAAUUAAUUCUGACAACUAGUCAAAGAAUCACGUACAAAACCAAGAAUCAGAGGGAAUCGUAUCUAAGUAAUGAAAGCAUAUCUAAAUAAGGAAGUAUUUCAAGAAAUCAGUGAAAACGUCUAAGGAAAAUCACAUACAAAUCAAAGAUUUGCAUAGAUGUACAAAAUCAGUAUAAUAUUACAUGAAUGAUGAACAAUUAGCCUUAUAGAGCAUAAUGAACAUGAAAAUCAGAGAACCUAAGCAAGUAAGCAUGGAAGCAACAAAGGGUCGGAACCCUAGCAAGAAAAUAAGGCAUGGAACUCAGGUUAACAAGGAAACCAAACAAACUCAUAACACAAACAAGCACGAACAAACACAUAACACUCGAGAAAAACAUAAACCAUACGAUUUUGAAAAGGGGUCAGAAACCCUAAUUUUGAAAAGAGAAGAAAUUAUCGGAAACUUGAAAUAAUCAGAAAUACUAAGUGAGAAAUAGAGUAAAAAACAAAAAAUUACUAAAAAUUGUUUUAAAAGAACAGAGAUUAAUGAGAUUUUAGUAGAAAAAUUAGGGUUUGCAAAUAAAUUAGGGUAAAUGAAAAACCUGGCCGUGAAAUUCAUCGAUAACGGGGUUUAAGGCAUCAUCAGACUAAAACCACCGGAGAAAGGCUGGCACAGACUCAGGCAAAGCUUCAAUGGUUAUCUUCCUUGGCGGAAGCUUCUGGACUUUGAACCUUAGAGAGAGAUAAUGAGAUAAGGUUUCAUGGUCAGUGGUGGUCAAGAGGAGUGAGGGUGGAGGUGGCCGGAACAGCGAUGAAAGUCAUCGGAGAUUAGAGAGAGAACCAGAAGGUUCUAGAGAGAACUUAGAGAUGAAGGGUUAGAGAGAGACCGG